rnacentral:rRNA from 1 species
AACGCGUGAGCAACAUGCCCGUAUCAGGGGGAUAAUCCAGGGAAACUUGGUCUAAUACCCCAUAGAAAUCGUUUAAGGCAUCUUUUAUGAUUUAAAGCUUUGGUGGAUACGGAUUGGCUCGCGUGAACAUUAGUUAGAUGGUAGGGUAACGGCUUACCAUGACUAUGAUGUCUAGGGGUUCUGAGAGGAAGGUCCCCCACACUGGAACUGAGACACGGUCCAGACUCCUACGGAAGGCAGCAGUGAGGAAUAUUGGACAAUGGAUGGAAAUCUGAUCCAGCCAUGCCGCGUGCAGGAAGAAUGUCCUAUGGAUUGUAAACUGCUUUUGUAUGGGAGCAAUAAGGUAUUCGUGAAUACCGAUGAGAGUACCAUACGAAUAAGCACCGGCUAACUCCGUGCCAGCAGCCGCGGUAAUACGGAGGGUGCAAGCGUUAUCCGGAUUUAUUGGGUUUAAAGGGUGCGUAGGCGGUUAUAUAAGUCAGCGGUGAAAUUUUUCAGCUUAACUGGAAACAUGCCGUUGAUACUGUAUAGCUUGAAUAUGGUUGCUGUGAGUGGAAUGUGUAGUGUAGCGGUGAAAUGCUUAGAUAUUACACAGAAUAUCGAUUGCGAAGGCAACUCACAAAGCCAAUAUUGACGCUGAUGCACGAAAGUGUGGGGAUCAAACAGGAUUAGAUACCCUGGUAGUCCACACUGUAAAUGAUGAUAACUCGCUGUCGGCGAUACACAGUCGG